CAAAAUUCCCCGAACACCCCAAAUUCCAGCUGCUCACCGGGCGGGGCAGAGGGGUUGGACCCCUCUGGAUUUGGGGGAUCCCCCCGAUCCCCAAUCCCUGGAAUUUCCUUGCCGGCCCCACCUGGAAAAGGAAGGACACGGGAUGGGGCAGUUUUGGGGUGCGAAAAGGCAAUUUUGGGGUCCCCCAAAACCCCCCCGGACUCACCUGGGGGCAGCGGGGGGAGCUCGAAGCUCAGCUCUUCCUCUUCCUCCUCCUCCUCCAGGGCCCUCAGGGGAUCCCGUUCCUCCAUCCCAGAAAAUUCCCAGCUUUUCUUUCCCUCCAAAAUUCCCAUUCGGGGCGUCCCCCUCUCCCUCUUUUCCCGGCACGGGGCCCUGUUCUCCUUCUUUUCCAGAAUUUUCUUGGAGUUUCCCUUUUCCUUCUUUUCCAAAGUUUCCGUUUUGGGGUUUCCCAUUUUUUCCUCUUUUUCCAUUUUAGGGUUUCCCAUUUUUUCCAUUUUGGGGUUUCCCAUUUUUUCCAUUUUAGGGUUUCCCAUCUUUUCCAUUUUGGGGUUUCCCAUUUUUUCCUCGUUUUCCAUUCUGGGGUUUCCAUUUUUUCCCACAUUUUCCAUUUCUGAGAUCCCUCUUCUCCCCACGUUUUCCAUUCUGGGGUUUCUCCUUUUUUCCUUCUUUUCCACAUUUUCCCCCUGCUCGAUCCCACUUUUUUCCGGCUCCUUCCGGGGCCGCCCCCGCCGGGGCCGAGCCUCAAUUCCCGGGGAAUUCCCGGGGGAUUUUUGGGGCCGGACCCUCCGGGCACAGGAAUUUUUCCGGCCGUUUUUGGGGGGAUCUGGGGGGAUUUGGGGCUCCUCGGGGUCGCUGUCGCUGAACGUCACCUGAAAAAAGAGGGGGAAAAAAAAGCCCCAAAAUUUCAUCCCAAAAUUUUUCCUCCACACGGAACUUUCUCCCCCUCCUCCCACCCAAAUUUUCCCCCUGAAAUUUUCUUUCCCAAAAUUUUCCUCCCCUUCCAAACUUUCACUUUCCUCCCGGAACUUCUCCCCUCCGAAGCUUUCCUUUCCCAAAUCCUUUUCCCUUCUUUCCAUUUCCACCCGCUCAAAGCUUUGUCCCCUCCCAAAUUUCCGUCCCCAAAUUUCCCUCCCCAAAAUUUCCCUCCCCAAAUUUCCCUUCCCAAAAUUUCCCUUCCCAAAUUUCCCUCCCCAAAAUUUCCCUUCCCAAAUUUCCAUCCCCAAAACUUUCCUCCCCAAAUUUCCCUUCCCAAUUUUCCAUCCCCAAACUUUUCCCCCCAAACUUCCCCUCCCCAAAUUUCCCUCCCAAAUUUUCCAUCCCCAAACUUUUCCCCCCAAAAUUUCCCUCCCCAAAUUUUCCAUCCCCAAACUUUUCCCCCCAAAAUUUC
rnacentral:lncRNA from 1 species